rnacentral:rRNA from 1 species
GACGAACGCUGGCGGCGUGCUUAACACAUGCAAGUCGAACGGAAAGGCCCUGCUUGGGGGGUACUCGAGUGCCGAACGGGUGAGUAACACGUGGGUGAUCUGCCCUGCACUUCGGGAUAAGCCUGGGAAACUGGGUCUAAUACCGGAUAGGAGCCAUUUUUAGUGUGAUGGUUGGACAGUUUUUUCGGUGUAGUAUGAGCUCGCGGCCUAUCAGCUUGUUGGUGGGGUAAUGGCCUACCAAGGCGGCGACGGGUAGCCGGCCUGAGAGGGUGGACGGCCACAUUGGGACUGAGAUACGGCCCAGACUCCGACGGGAGGCAGCAGUGGGGAAUAUUGCACAAUGGGCGCAAGCCUGAUGCAGCGACGCCGCGUGGGGGAUGACGGCCUUCGGGUUGUAAACUCCUUUCGCUAGGGACGAAGCUUUUUGUGACGGUACCUAGAUAAGAAGCACCGGCUAACUACGUG